GGGAGAAGUGCAGUUGUCCGGGGCGCUGCAAGGACUCUAUGGAGGCAUUUGGUGGACGCCGCAGGAACCCACAGCCAGAGAUGGAUGCCAAGAUGCACUCCUUCCUCUGUCUGGCAAGCUCUGCUGACCUGUGAGGGCUCCCCAGUUCUGGUGGGAUCUCCGUGCCUUCUGCUGAUCCCAGAGUACUUCAAUUUGUUCUUUUAUUUUCAGGUUCUGUACCAUUUCAUGCUUCUGUGAUGUGUUUUUCUUCCUUUUGUUUUACAGGAUGGAAUUGUACGCCUGGUUGGAUCUACGAUGACCCAAAUGCAAUCUAGUAAGGUUUGGCCAAGUGUGGUGGGAAAGGAGGAUGUAGGCUCCUAGCAAACUUCUGGAUUGGGGACACCAGCACCAGAUGCUCUUGCACUUCCUGACCUCCCUGGGUGGCAGCAUUGGAAGUGCCUGGACCUUUGGAAAGGGCUAAGUGAUUCCUUCAUCAUUACCAGAAUGUAGUUUGUGUUCAACAGGUGACGGUGGAGAACUGUGGCCUUCUGUUCAGCGCAAAAAGUCUACUGAGGAUCUAGGUGGAUAGAACAGGAACGCAGAGCCAUAGUUGGAUGCCAAGAUGCACGCCUUCCUCUGUCUGGCAAGCUCUGCUGACCCCUGAGGUCAUUUCCAUGCUUGCAGAGGUCCUAUCUGUUUGGUGUCGGUUGUGCCUUGUGUUCACUUGGCUUUCACCUGGGGUUGUUGCCUUAUAAUAUUUUUCCCACCCUGUUUCCAAGCAGGAGCUCCCCUUGGCCUCCAUGUUUCGCUCUGGCCAGGCAGAUGUGGUGCGCCAAUGGUAUGCAGAGUGUAGAUCCCAAGCAGAACAACUGAGAGAGGCUGCCCUGGGUGAGACAGGAGAAGUGCCCCUUGGAGUGGGGGACGCCCCGCUGGCACUGCCUCUCGCAUCCACCGGCAGCACGUUCCUUCUCUCUCCUUGGCACCCAACUCUUUGCUGUCUCUCAGGCUCACCAAGUCCAAAUGUUCCCUGAUGGAGUCCAACUCCAGCUUGACCAACACUCACCCCUUAGAGCUCCCCAGCAUUGCUGGCUGUUGGUGCCUUCUCUCGCUCCAAGUCAGCACGGCUCUGUUCUUUGCCUUUUGGGUUCCAGAGCGUUUGCUACAGGUUAUGGAGUGUUUCUCUUCUCUCUCUUCUUGUCCUCCAUGUUGCCCGUUGGCGCCUUGGUAGAGUUUCAGUGACCCAAAUGCAGACUGCUCUGCAUUGACCAAUUGUGAUGCCAAGAGAAGAGGAUAGGAGACUCUGCCGUCAGAUGGCGUUGCCUGUUCUUCUCUCCCCAGUUUGCAGAGCUGGAUGUGACCUCAGCACUGGAUAAGGGGUAAGUGAUUCCUUCAUCCUGACCAGAAGGUAAUCUCUACUUGCCUUGUGCUGUGUGGAGCAGGUUGCAGGGGAGAAGUGCAGUUGUCCGGGGCGCUGCAAGGACUCUAUGGAGGCAUUUGGUGGACGCCGCAGGAACCCACAGCCAGAGAUGGAUGCCAAGAUGCACUCCUUCCUCUGUCUGGCAAGCUCUGCUGACCUGUGAGGUCGUUCCCACGCUUGCAGAGGUCCUACGGGCUUGGUGUUGGUUGUCGCUUGUGCUCACCUUGCUGUCACCGGGUGUUCUUCCUUUGGCCAUCUUUAGGGCUCCCCAGUUCUGGUGGGAUCUCCGUGCCUUCUGCUUAUCCCAGAGAACAUGGGUUUGUUCUCUUAUAUCCAGGUUCAGUAUGUUUUCCUGUUGUUAUGUGAUGUUUGCCUUAUUUUUUUAUUUUUUAUUUUUUUUCCGGGCUGCUUAUUGAUCCAUCCUGGGUCUGCAAUAAACCAAAUGAUUUCUGGUAAGGUUUGACCAAGUGAGAUGGAAAAUCAAGUGGUAAACUCCAAAACAGGCUUGCAGUGAGUGUGUCGUAUGACUUGGGGUUUCUAGCUUGACAUCUGUUUUUCUGUGUAACCCAUGUGGUUCAGUACCUGAUUUGAAGGUUUCUUCUUUCCUUCUAGUAUUGGAGACUUACCCACCACAUGGUGAUGCCUUCCCUGACCUCCUUGAUUGCAGUGUGGGAUGUGCCCUGAUCCUUGGAAAGGGGUGAGUGAUUCCUGCAUCCUCACUAGAAGGUAAUCUCUACUUACCUUUUCUUGUGUUCAUAAGGUGGCACUGGAGAGUUGUGACCCUGCUGAGCAGUGCAAGGACUCUACUGAGGCUCUUGGUGGACUCAGCAAGAACCCACACCCGUAGAUGGAUGCCAAUAUCUAUUCCUUCCUCUGUCUGGCAAGCUCUGUUGUCCCCUGAGGUCGUUCCCAUGCUUGCAGAGGUCCUAUGGACUUGUUGGUUUUCGCUUGUGCUCACUGGGCUUAUCAAGGGUGUUCCUCUUGCUUGACACCACCUUUCCCACUCUCCAUUUCCAAGCAGGAGCUCCCUUUGGCCUCCAUGUCUCGCUCUGGCCAGGCAGAUGUGGUGUGUCAAUGGAUCAAAGCCUUCAGAAUCCAACCAAAAGAAAUGGGGAGAGAGGCUGCCCUGGGUGAGACAGGAGAAGUGCCCCUUGAAGCGGGGGACGCCCCGCUGGCACUGCCUCUCACAUCCAUCAGCAGCACAUUCCUUUUCUCUCCUUGCCACCUGGCGCUUUGCAAUCUCCCUGUGCUUGCCAAGUCCAAAUGUUCCCUGAUGGAGUCCAACUCCGGCUCGACCAUCACUCACCUGGUCUGUCCCCACACCAGCUGGCUUAGGGCUCUCCAGUACUGCUGGAUGUCAGUGCCUUCUGUUGCUCCCUGUCAACAUGGUGGUGUUCUUUCUUUUUAGGUUCAGUAACGUGUCUUCUUGUUAUGCGGUGGUACUCUUCUCUGUUUUCUUGUGUUUCAUGUUGCCUGUCAAUGCCUCUUUGGAGAUACACCAAGUGAAAUGUAAACUGAUGUUCUUUGACCCAGUGUGAUGGAAAAUGAAGAUGUAGGCUCCACUACAGCUAUCGUUCGAAACGGGAUGGACCAUUUUGACUAUUUGUCAACGCCCACCUGGCAAUCUGAAUUUAGGAGCCGCUUUCAUGGACGUGUCGCUGCAGGGCAAAGAAGGCCUCAAAACUUCAGUGGACCUGUACCCCCAAGAGAGCUCUGAAACUUAUGUUAAGAAAAUAAAUGUCUUAAUAUUUUUCUGUCUUCUAUAGUUUUAACUGUUGCUUUAGCUUGGCUGGAAAAUAGGUAUGUAAAGCUAAUUGAAAAUCUUGCUGAAGGAAGGUUUUAGUGUUUCAGACUGUUGGGUUUGUAUGACUCUCCCAAGAAGUGUAGGAAGUGUGCCAAUUUACGCAGCAGUUGCACUAAAUUGGACAAUACUGAAUUAUGUAACAAAUCAGAUGGAAAACGGUGGAAAUUGUAAAUGCGUGGAUGAAAAUCAGAGUAAGGUCGUUGAUUUGAUUUUUUUUUUUUUUGUCAUUAUUACUAAUACCUGAACCAUUUUUAUAGGCAGGAAUGACAACAGUGCAAACCAUAUAAACUUUGGGUGCAGGAACCUGUCAGGUGUAGGGUGUUGUUGGGAAUAUGGCAAUUUUGGGAUGCUUACGAGCUAUAAUGAGACUGCUCGAUGACAGCAAGGCAGGUACCAUGAUCCUAGGGCCACUAACAAUACAGUGCGGUCUGGAGAUAAAGAUAUAUUUGCUAUAGCGGGCAUGGGGACUGCAUCAAUGUAGCAUAGGCAAAAACACUGUCAGCUUCCCUUUGGGUAUUGGUGGAUGUGUGGAAAUAGAUACGCAUGUGAAAUUCUCCCAUUGAAUUGGACUGGGACAUGCACAGCAGGUUAUCUGAUGCCUCACACAAGUAUCUACACUUGCAUAGAGCCACCAUGAGGAUUUUUAAGAGCUAUGCAGGUAUAGACUAAGAGAGGGAAUACUCCACUAGUUGAAAGGACUAUGGGAUUCCAUAGUUUUAUUUGAUGGGUACUUUCAGCUGUCAGAGUCACUGAACUGGAACAAGCAGUUGUGAAUGUAUCAGUCACUAUGGAAAGAAUUGAGAACCUAAGUUUAGAAGCCAUCCAGGGUCUUCAGACAGAGAUCUCAUGCUGUAGUAAAUCAGUCUUGCAGAAUAGAAUGGCCCUCGGCCUUCUUACCACAAAGGCAUGAGGGGUCUCUAUGAUUAUUAACCGGUCACUGCGCUUACAUGGACUGAAAUGUACACGUAGAGAGUGAUUUAUAGGCCAUUUGGAGAGGCAUUUGAGAACUACACCAAGUCUCCUUACAUGACCCUUCUGCUGGAAUCAUGG
ensembl:lncRNA